GUGCAAUGUCAAUCAGCAGUGGCCAAGGCCAGUAAGGUAUUGUCAUGCAUGAAAAAGGGCAUUCAUUCUCGGGGCGAGAAUAUCAUUUUGCCUCUUUAUAAAUCACUGGUAAGACCCCAUAUUGAAUAUGCUGUGCAAUUUUGGGCACCUGUUCUAAAGAAGGAUAUUAUGGAACUAGAAAAAGUGCAGAGGCAGGCUACAAAAUUAAUAAAAGGAAUGGAAC